GACGAACGCUGGCGGCGUGCUUAACACAUGCAAGUCGAACGGUAAGGCUCCAGCUUGCUGGGGUACACGAGUGGCGAACGGGUGAGUAACACGUGGGUGACCUGCCCUGCACUUCGGGAUAAGCCUGGGAAACUGGGUCUAAUACCGGAUAGGACCGCACCGUGAGGGUGUGGUGGAAAGUUUUUUCGGUGUGGGAUGGGCCCGCGGCCUAUCAGCUUGUUGGUGGGGUAAUGGCCUACCAAGGCGGCCACGGGUAGCCGGCCUGAGAGGGUGGACGGCCACAUUGGGACUGAGACACGGCCCAGACUCCUACGGGAGGCAGCAGUGGGGAAUAUUGCACAAUGGGCGGAAGCCUGAUGCAGCGACGCCGCGUGGGGGAUGACGGCCUUCGGGUUGUAAACUCCUUUCACCAUCGACGAAGGGUUUCUGACGGUAGAUGGAGAAGAAGCACCGGCUAACUACGUGCCAGCAGCCGCGGUAAUACGUAGGGUGCGAGCGUUGUCCGGAAUUACUGGGCGUAAAGAGCUCGUAGGUGGUUUGUCGCGUCGUCUGUGAAAUUCCGGGGCUUAACUCCGGGCGUGCAGGCGAUACGGGCAUAACUUGAGUACUGUAGGGGAGACUGGAAUUCCUGGUGUAGCGGUGAAAUGCGCAGAUAUCAGGAGGAACACCGGUGGCGAAGGCGGGUCUCUGGGCAGUAACUGACGCUGAGGAGCGAAAGCAUGGGGAGCGAACAGGAUUAGAUACCCUGGUAGUCCAUGCCGUAAACGGUGGGCGCUAGGUGUGGGUUUCCUUCCACGGGAUCCGUGCCGUAGCUAACGCAUUAAGCGCCCCGCCUGGGGAGUACGGCCGCAAGGCUAAAACUCAAAGGAAUUGACGGGGGCCCGCACAAGCGGCGGAGCAUGUGGAUUAAUUCGAUGCAACGCGAAGAACCUUACCUGGGCUUGACAUAUACAGGAUCGCGCCAGAGAUGGUGUUUCCCUUGUGGCUUGUAUACAGGUGGUGCAUGGUUGUCGUCAGCUCGUGUCGUGAGAUGUUGGGUUAAGUCCCGCAACGAGCGCAACCCUUGUCUUAUGUUGCCAGCACGUUGUGGUGGGGACUCGUAAGAAACUGCCGGGGUUAACUCGGAGGAAGGUGGGGAUGACGUCAAAUCAUCAUGCCCCUUAUGUCCAGGGCUUCACACAUGCUACAAUGGUCGGUACAGUGGGUUGCCAGUCCGUGAGGGCGAGCUAAUCCCGCAAAGCCGGUCUCAGUUCGGAUCGGGGUCUGCAACUCGACCCCGUGAAGUCGGAGUCGCUAGUAAUCGCAGAUCAGCAACGCUGCGGUGAAUACGUUCCCGGGCCU
rnacentral:rRNA from 1 species